UACGUAGGGGGCAAGCGUUGUCCGGAAUCAUUGGGCGUAAAGCGCGUGUAGGCGGUUCGGUAAGUCCGCUGUGAAAGUCCAGGGCUCAACCCUGGGAUGCCGGUGGAUACUGUCGGACUAGAGUACGGAAGAGGCGAGUGGAAUUCCCGGUGUAGCGGUGAAAUGCGCAGAUAUCAGGAAGAACACCCGUGGCGAAGGCGGCUCUCUGGGACGGUACUGACGCUGAGACGCGAAAGCGUGGGGAGCGAACAGG
rnacentral:rRNA from 1 species